rnacentral:lncRNA from 1 species
AAUGAAAUGAGUAUUUAAAUAUAUCAAAUGCGGAAGCGAGAUCAAAAUUUCAGUUAACAUCCCUUACACGAAAAACAAAAAACGUACUUAAAAUAUAAAAGAUUAAACUAACUAAGAGAGAAACUCGAAAAUAAAACUAUGAGUAUGACUACAGAGUCUCUAGGCAUCCCCUUCGUCGUCCUCCUGCGGAACGGGCUCGGGAACCAUGUCUUCCUGAUCUGAAAUGGUUAAAUAAGGAGUGAGCUACACUAGCCC